rnacentral:rRNA from 1 species
UAAGGAAUAUUGGACAAUGGAGGCAACUCUGAUCCAGCCAUGCCGCGUGAAGGAAUAAGGCCCUAUGGGUUGUAAACUUCUUUUAGACGGGACAAAACCCCUUUACGUGUAAAGGGUUGAUGGUACUGUCAGAAUAAGCAUCGGCUAACUUCGUGCCAGCAGCCGCGGUAAUACGAAGGAUGCAUGCGUUAUCCGGAAUUAUUGGGUUUAAAGGGUGCGUAGGCGGACUAAUAAGUCAGUGGUGAAAGCCUGCAGCUUAACUGCAGAAUUGCCAUUGAUACUGUUAGUCUUGAGUACAGUUGAGGUAGGCGGAAUGUGUCAUGUAGCGGUGAAAUGCUUAGAUAUGACACAGAACACCGAUUGCGAAGGCAGCUUGCUAAGCUGUAACUGACGCUGAGGCACGAAAGCGUGGGGAGCAAACA